CCCUCCCGCCCCGGAGGCUGGCGCUCCGGACCCGGUCACCCCCCCAUCCCGGCCCACGGCUCGCCGAAGAUCCCUAGCUGACAGAGGAACGGACAGGCUGCUCCACCCCGACCUCUACACCACCGAGCGGGCAGGUCGUGGCCAAGGGGGUCCGUAACAGCGGAGCGCCGACCCUUCCUUCCGCGCCCGGAGCCGGCCAGUACUUACACCACGGAGCAGGCGUAGCAUCCUUUCUUGCUGCUCUCGCGGAUUAGGAAGGCCCCGUCGGGUUUCCCGCGCAGCAAGUCCUCCGCCUGGGUGCGGUUGAGAUCCCCGACGAACCAGGUUUUCUCGUCGUAGUGGGGCAGGUUCUCGUCCUCCUCGUUCACAAAGUGACCCUGCUCCCAGAGGAACAAAAGGACCCUGCCCAAAAUGCCAGCUGUGGAUGAGGGGAGAGAGGAAGUACCCGGGCAAUGAACUUGAAGGGCAUGCUCUCCCUUCUGGAGUACCAGCCAAACGCCUAGUUUUUUCUGCUCGCAUGCCAGCUUCCAUGGGAGACUGACUCCAUCCCCACAGGACCACUGCUUGCCCUGGAGGUGCCACAGGUUGGGCACUGAAGACCCAGGUGAACUACUGCUCUUAUCAGCCGAUGAGAUUCCAGAAGUUGAGCGCAACUCUCACUACCUUAAAAGGUGCACGUCCCCACCCCACCCUCUCUCCCAUCGAGGCCGGAACCACCCUAAGGCAGGGCCGGGAGCUGAGGGAAGAGACAGACACGAGCCCCUCGCAGGAUCUGCCGGGCUUACCGUUCGAUUUCCUUCUCGUUCCCCUCGCGACGAAAUCGCUCGAUGUAUUCUUUGCUGUACCGCUCCUGGGUGUGGCACUGCUCUUCAAAUAUUUUAAUUGUUUCAUUAAAAGCUUCAAUUGCCGUC